UGUAAGCGUAUACCAAAGUUGUUGCAGUUAAAACGCUCGUAGUCGGAAUUUUGCAGUUCCGGAUGUGUGCACGUCGUGUGCGCACUUCGCGGGGAUUGCUUUUGUGGUCUUGCGUAGGAUGAGGCACUUUUAUUAGUGAACGUCCUCACGCAACCACUUUUUACUGUGAGAAAAUCAGAGUGCUCAAAGCAGGCAUUUGCCGUGAAUGUAUUAGCAUGGAAUAAUAGAAUAGGACUUGGUUCUAUUUUGUUGGUUUGUUGGGACUGAGUAAUGAUUAAGAGGGACAGUUGGGGGCAUUUGUAUUUCGGUGCUAGAGGUGAAAUUCUUAGAUUACCGAAAGACAAACUGCUGCGAAAGCGUCUGCCAAGGAUGUUUUCAUUGA
rnacentral:rRNA from 1 species